UUCAGUAUUUAGCUAUUUAAAAUUUAGUUCAACAAUAUCAAUAGAUAACAACAACAACAAUUGUGUUUCUACAAUGAACUUGCAGUACAAUCAUAUAAGAACAGUCGCGGUGCAUUAAGCUCCCGCAUGCGCGCGGUCCGGGGAAGGGCCAGACCACAAGGGUCUAUUGUACGCAAUUUAACCCAGCAUUUCUGCAAGAGGCUGUUUUCACGGCUCGAACCCGUGACCUCCUGGUCACCUGGCAGAUACUUUGCAGUCCAAUCAUAUGUUAUAAUGAUAAUAAUAUAGGAACAAUCAGAUUCUAAAGAGCUAUCAGAUAAAUAUUUAUGCACAAUUUGUUAUUCUAUAAAAACUAAAUUAAAUUCAAAUGGCGAAAUACAUAAAUAACCUGUUUAAGUCGUCCACAGUAACCAGAUAGACGCCUCAAUUGAUGCCAUUAUCAACUAGACACUUCUUUUUCAAUAGAAGUACGACCCGGUGAACCCUCAUGCUGACAUAGCAAAGUGGGUGCUUUAUAUUCACAUAUGAACACGUAAAACCCUCAAAAUUAAAAUUUUUCAUUUUUAAAAAAAUUUAACCUUACUUUAUGCGGAUUAACCAUAACUUUUAUGUGGGUCCCACUGUAUUUUUAAUUUUUCCCACAUUCAUUUUACUUUCUUCCAAAUAAUUCAUCUCCACCGCCAAACUUUUCUGACCUAAACAUGGCAACAUCAGUAGCUUAUUCACCUUCCAACGUGAUCCACCUCAUCUUAUUCAAUCUUAAAAUAAAAAAAAAUCUAUAACAGCCACUACACCAUAAUAAUAUCAAUUGACCACCCAUAAAAUUUCGGUCCCAUUUCUAAUAAUUGACCUUCUCCAAUUCCCUUCUGAGGUUAAAAAUUUGAAAUCUUUCAUGGUCCAAUUAAGUUGUCUUUUAGCAGCUGGUAGCGAAGCUCCACUUGUUCUGCUUGGUUCCAUCGGCGACAGUUAAGUAAGAAAUGAAGCACAGUGAUAAAGAAGCAGUAGCAAAACUCUGUGGGGACGAGGAGUUUGGAAGAAGGAAAAGGGGGCGAGAUGAACAAGAGCGGAGGGGUCAUCUCUCGUCGGAGAAGAAGAUUGGAGGCGAGCGUAACUCACGCAUAUGAACUGCCGAACUCGGGUGUUCACGAGGUACACUUGAUAACCACUUGAAGUGUCAAAAUGAUAAAUGGUCAGCUGAGGUGACUGUUUGGUCGUUGCGGAGCAUGUUUUCCUAUCAAGGGAGAAUUCAUAUUAUUCGGCAAAUAAUGUUGUGUUAAGUUUAACAUAUUUAUAGAAAUUAGUUAACUAAUUGCACUCUUUUAAAAGUUAAAUUCA